GAUGAAGAACGCAGCGAAAUGCGAUAACUAAUGUGAAUUGCAGAAUUCAGUGAAUCAUCGAGUCUUUGAACGCACAUUGCGCCCCCUGGUAUUCCGGGGGGCAUGCCUGUCCGAGCGUCAUUGCUGCCCUCAAGCACGGCUUGUGUGUUGGGCCGUCGUCCCCCUCCUAGGGGACGGGCCCGAAAGGCAGCGGCGGCACCGCGUCCGGUCCUCGAGCGUAUGGGGCUUCGUCACCCGCUCCGUAGGCCCGGCCGGCGCUUGCCGACGACCAUCAAUCUCUUUCUCCAGGUUGACCUCGGAUCAGGUAGGGAUACCCGCUGAACUUAAGCAUAUCAAUAAGCGGAGGA
rnacentral:misc_RNA from 1 species